rnacentral:rRNA from 1 species
AGGGAAUCUUGCACAAUGGGCGAAAGCCUGAUGCAGCAACGCCGCGUGAAGGAUGAAGGCCUUCGGGUUGUAAACUUCUGUUCCCGGGGACGAAGAAAGUGACGGUACCCGGGCAGCAAGCCCCGGCUAACUACGUGCCAGCAGCCGCGGUAAUACGUAGGGGGCAAGCGUUAUCCGGAAUUAUUGGGCGUAAAGAGUGCGUAGGUGGUUAUGUAAGCGUGAGGUUUAAGGCAGUGGCUUAACCACUGUUCGCCUUGCGAACUGCAUAACUUGAGUGCAGGAGGGGAAAGCGGAAUUCCUAGUGUAGCGGUGAAAUGCGUAGAUAUUAGGAGGAACACCAGCGGCGAAGGCGGCUUUCUGGACUGCAACUGACACUGAGGCACGAAAGCGUGGGGAGCAAAC